UUAAACCACGGCAGCUACUUGUACCUCAGGGUCCCAUCAGGAUGGUUCAUGGGCCAGAUCCGGUGGCUUGGCAGGCCGGAUCCAGCCCUCAGGCCAUAUUUUGCCCAACCCUGGCUUAAGCUAAGCUGUCUCCAAGUAAGAGCUAUAAUUGAGUGAGAAUGCUUGCCGUGACCCCUCACACAAGGCAACAGGAAUCUGCAACACUCCCAGGUAACAUCUGAAUGCACUCCUCCAUUCUUCCAAUUUGGGACUGUGCUUGGCUGGCAGAUUCCUUCACUGCUGGAUGUCUUCUAACUUGAGCAAAACCAAUCUUCCCAUGUGCACCUUGCCAUGUGUUCUAAAGUCUGAUCUUCUAGAGAAGCAAGUUCCAGAACAGUGGGCCAUGUAUGAGAUUGCUUUUCAUCUCAACAUCCAGCUGGUUCAAGUUGCAACUGGGGCUCCAUGAGGGGCAGAAUCCCUUUUCAGUCGAUCUGGUAUGGUAUCGGAUCAGAGAGGAACAUUCACUUAGGUAACUGCAGAAUAAUCCAUCAGGUUUCUGAAGUUCUACCCUCUCCAAAGAUAGCAACCUUGAUCUGUACCCAGAAUUAAACUGAUA